UACGAAGGGUGCAAGCGUUAAUCGGAAUUAUUGGGCGUAAAGAGCUCGUAGGCGGUUUGUCGCGUCUGCUGUGAAAGCCCAGGGCUUAACCCUGGGUUUGCAGUGGGUACGGGCAGGCUGGAGUGCAGUAGGGGAGACUGGAAUUCCUGGUGUAGCGGUGAAAUGCGCAGAUAUCAGGAGGAACACCGAUGGCGAAGGCAGGUCUCUGGGCUGUUACUGACGCUGAGGAGCGAAAGCAUGGGGAGCGAACAGGAUUAGA
rnacentral:rRNA from 1 species